rnacentral:rRNA from 1 species
AUUGAACGCUGGCGGCAGGCCUAACACAUGCAAGUCGAGCGGAUGAAGGGAGCUUGCUCCUGGAUUCAGCGGCGGACGGGUGAGUAAUGCCUAGGAAUCUGCCUGGUAGUGGGGGAUAACGUCCGGAAACGGGCGCUAAUACCGCAUCCGUCCUGAGGGAGAAAGUGGGGGAUCUUCGGACCUCACGCUAUCAGAUGAGCCUAGGUCGGAUUAGCUAGUUGGUGGGGUAAAGGCCUACCAAGGCGACGAUCCGUAACUGGUCUGAGAGGAUGAUCAGUCACACUGGAACUGAGACACGGUCCAGACUCCUACGGGAGGCAGCAGUGGGGAAUAUUGGACAAUGGGCGAAAGCCUGAGCCAGCCAUGCCGCGUGUGUGAAGAAGGUCUGCGGAUUGUAAAGCACUUUAAGUUGGGAGGAAGGGCAGUAAGUUAAUACCUUGCUGUUUUGACGUUACCAACAGAAUAAGCACCGGCUAACUUCG